UGGUGGCGAUAGCGAAGAGGUCACACCCGUUCCCAUUCCGAACACGGCAGUUAAGCUCCUCAGCGCCGAUGGUAGUUGGGGGUUUCCCCCUGUGAGAGUAGGACGCCGCCA
rnacentral:rRNA from 1 species